rnacentral:lncRNA from 1 species
GAAAUCACUUGAAAACUCAAAAAGCAGAUGGUUGUAUAUUUAAUUUCUCUUCUUGAAAGCUCACUAAUUGCUCAAAGUGGUUUUUACUGAUUUUUAGCCUUUCUUUUGCUUUUUCUUGUGUUCUAUAUACUUCUCUUGCUUCAUUAAUGUCUUUGGCAUCCAUAUAUCUUUAUUAGUAUCCAAAAAUAAGUUUUUAGUUAUUUAAAAGUAGCCAUUAGAAGACUUUUGUGCAAAGCCGCAACGUCUGAAAAACUAGCUAUUAGAGCUGUCAGUCGCAAUAGAGUCAACUCGAAUCAAGUCAGUAGUCGACUCGAGAUAUCUUCAAGUCG